GACGAACGCUGGCGGCGUGCUUAACACAUGCAAGUCGAACGGAAAGGCCCUGCUUUUGUGGGGUGCUCGAGUGGCGAACGGGUGAGUAACACGUGAGUAACCUGCCCUUGCCUUUGGGAUAACUUCAGGAAACUGGGGCUAAUACCGGAUAGGAGCUCCUGCUGCAUGGUGGGGGUUGGAAAGUUUCGGCGGUUGGGGAUGGACUCGCGGCUUAUCAGCUUGUUGGUGGGGUAGUGGCUUACCAAGGCUUUGACGGGUAGCCGGCCUGAGAGGGUGACCGGACACAUUGGGACUGAGAUACGGCCCAGACUCCUACGGGAGGCAGCAGUGGGGAAUAUUGCACAAUGGGCGGAAGCCUGAUGCAGCAACGCCGCGUGCGGGAUGACGGCCUUCGGGUUGUAAACCGCUUUCGCCUGUGACGAAGCGUGAGUGACGGUAAUGGGUAAAGAAGCACCGGCUAACUACGUG
rnacentral:rRNA from 1 species